rnacentral:rRNA from 1 species
UCUACGGGUGGCUGCAGUGAGGAAUAUUGGUCAAUGGGCGUGAGCCUGAACCAGCCAAGUAGCGUGAGGGAUGACUGCCCUAUGGGUUGUAAACCUCUUUUAUAAAGGAAUAAAGUUGGCCACGUGUGGCUUUUUGUAUGUACCUUAUGAAUAAGGACCGGCUAAUUCCGUGCCAGCCGCCGCGGUAAUACGGAGGGUCCGAGCGUUAUCCGGAUUUAUUGGGUUUAAAGGGAGCGUAGAUGGGUGGUUAAGUCAGUUGUGAAAGUUUGCGGCUCAACCGUAAAAUUGCAAUUGAUACUGGCAGUCUUGAGGACAGUUGAGGUAGGCGGAAUUCGUGGUGUAGCGGUGAAAUGCUUAGAUAUCACGAAGAACUCCGAUUGCGAAGGCAGCUUACUAAACUGCCACUGACAUUGAUGCUCGAAAGUGUGGGUAUCAAACAGGAUUAGAUACCCGAGUAGUC